CUUAAGUGGUGUCAGAAGUGGGAUCGUGAAGGUGUUAAAAUAGAGGAAACAGUCCCGCCGCACGAUCGAGAAAACCCGGAUGCAGACUUCAAGACUACUAUGUUUCCUAUUCUGGACAUCUACAGCUUGGACAGACAUCCGCAUUUACGACCUGACUAAUAAUCCCAUAGCAAUCAUACCUCUCGGACAGGCCAGGAUUAGUAACAGUUAUAUCAGAGUAAUUCAUCCCGUAAAUUUAACAGCCAUAAAAGAUGCUAUAGAUUUGUUUGACUAUGUAACUAAAAAUUCUGAUUUAAAUAAUUCACUUUUCGAUCAAGUUAUUAGAAAAAAGAUAAAUAAAAUACACUUAACGUUCAACAGAAUUGUACCUCAAAACAGAUUCAAGAGAUGGGAAUCACUCGGUAGGGCGUGGAAAUACGUAUCAGGCAGUCCUGAUGCGGACGAUUUGAAAGUCAUUAACUCAACAAUCAAUUCUUUAGUAACUGAAAAUAAUAAUCAAAUACACAUUAAUAAUGUAUUCGAGAAAAGAAUGAGAAACCUUACAAGAACUUUCAAUCUUCUGAUAGAUAACGAGCAAAAAU